rnacentral:rRNA from 1 species
GAUGAACGCUGGCGGCGUGCCUAAUACAUGCCAGUCGAGCGAACGGACGAGAAGCUUGCUUCUCUGAUGUUAGCGGCGGACGGGUGAGUAACACGUGGAUAACCUACCUAUAAGACUGGGAUAACUUCGGGAAACCGUAGCUAAUACCGGAUAAUAUUUUGAACCGCAUGGUUCAAAAGUGAAAGACGGUCUUGCUGUCACUUAUAGAUGGAUCCGCGCUGCAUUAGCUAGUUGGUAAGGUAACGGCUUACCAAGGCAACGAUGCAUAGCCGACCUGAGAGGGUGGUCGGCCACACUGGAACUGAGACACGGUCCAGACUCCUACGGGAGGCAGCAGUAGGGAAUCUUCCGCAAUGGGCGAAAGCCUGACGGAGCAACGCCGCGUGAGUGAUGAAGGUCUUCGGAUCGUAAAACUCUGUUAUUAGGGAAGAACAUAUGUGUAAGUAACUGUGCACAUCUUGACGGUACCUAAUCAGAAAGCCACGGCUAACUACGUG